rnacentral:rRNA from 1 species
UCUCGGUUCUGCCGGGGGGAAUCAGUCUGGAUGUUUCUUCCUCUUUCUCGGAACGUUAACAGGGGUUCAUGGUUCGCCAUGUUCUCUUGGUUUCGCAGGAUUUACUUUGAAUAAAUUAGGGCGUUCAAAGCAGGCGCAACUCGCCUUGAAUACAUUAGCAUGGGAUAAUAGAAUAUGACCUUUGGUCUACUUAUUGGUUUCUAAGGCCAAGGUAAUGAUUAAUAGGGAUAGUUGAGGUCGCUCGUAUUCAAUGGUCAGAGGUGAAAUUCUAAGACCCAUUGAGGACGAACAAAUGCGAAGGCAUUCGACAAGGAUGUUUUCAUUAAUCAAGAACGAAAGUUGUGGGAUCGAAGAUGAUUAGAUACCGUCGUAGUCACAACCGUAAACUAUGUCGACUCAGGAUCCGGGGAUGUUACAUGGAUGACUCUCCGGGCACUGUGUGCGAAAGCAUAAGUAUUCUGACUCCGGGGGGAGUAUGGUCGCAAGGCUGAAACUUAAAGGAAUUGACGGAAGGGCACCACCAGGAGUGGAACCUGCGGCUUAAUUUGACCCAACACGGGGAAACUUACCCAGUCCGGACACAACGAGGAUUGACAGAUUGAUAGCUCUUUCUUGAUUUUGUGGAAGCCGGUGCAUGGCCGUUUUUAGUUGGUGGAGUGAUUUGUCUGGUUUAGUCCGAUAACGAACGAGACCAUAAUCUGCUAAAUAGUGUCGUUUAACAAGGAGACUUACGGGGCGGUCGGGUUUACUCGGCAGUUUCGUGGGUUUCCACUAAAUUGUUGGCGAAAGAUUUACUUCUUAGAGAGACUCUUGAUGAUGCAAAAAUCAAUGGAAGAAUAUGGCAAAAACAGGUCUGUGAUGCCGCUCGAUGUCUGGGGCUGCACGCGCGUUACACUGAGAUGUUCAACAAGUAUUAUUCAUGACCUGGCCCGAAGGGGUUCAGGUAAUCUCGAAAGCAUUUCGUGAUGGGGAUUGUGCCUUGAAACUAUUGCACAUGAACGAGGAAUUCCUAGUAAGGGUAGGUCAUCAACCUGCCCUGAUUACGUCCCUGCCCUUUGUACACACCGCCCGUCGCUUCUACCGAUCGAAUUGCUCGAUGAGGACUCGGGAUGAGGGGGUAACUCGUAGGCUGAAAGGUCUGCGCGUCCUCUUCAGAACCU